rnacentral:rRNA from 1 species
GAUAAACGCUGGCGGCGUGCAUGAGACAUGCAAGUCGAACGAAGGAUCGGGCUUGCUCGAUCCUUAGUGGCGGACGGCUGAGUAACGCGUAGGUGACCUACCCCGAAGUGGGGAAUAACUGCCCGAAAGGGUGGCUAAUACCGCAUGUGGUCGCACGUUCAUUCGUGCGAGUAAAGCCGCAAGGCGCUUCGGGAGGGGCCUGCGUCCGAUUAGCUCGUUGGUGGGGUAAUGGCUUACCAAGGCGACGAUCGGUAGGUGGUCUGGGAGGACGAUCACCCAGACUGGGACUGAAACACGGCCCAGACUCCUACGGGAGGCAGCAGUCGGGAAUUUUGCUCAAUGGGGGAAACCCUGAAGCAGCAACGCCGCGUGAGGGAUGAAGGCCUUCGGGUUGUAAACCUCUUUUGUCAGGGACGAUGAUGACGGUACCUGGCGAAUAAGCCACGGCUAACUACGUG